rnacentral:misc_RNA from 1 species
AAAUAGUAGUCAUAUUUGAAGAAGAGCCAGCAAUUACAGAAAAUAUUCUACACAAGCUAAGAAUGGCUCAUUGUGUAAAUGGGUAACACAGUUUGAAAUCUAUAAUUGCUAUAAAGGGACUGUUUCCAUUCAAGAAUACAGAGCUUCGACAGCUUUUAUCAGUAUAAUACAACACUGAAUGAUACAAAAGGGUUGAACCAAAAGACUAAAAACUACAGAGAAGAGCAUAUGAAUGGCAGACCCCGG